rnacentral:rRNA from 1 species
CACGUAGGGCGCAAGCGUUGUCCGGAAUUAUUGGGCGUAAAGAGCUCGUAGGCGGUCUGUUGCGUCCGCUGUGAAAACUCGAGGCUCAACCUCGAGAUGUCGGCGGAAACCAUCUGGCUAGAGUCCGGAAGAGGAGAGUGGAAUUCCUGGUGUAGCGGUGAAAUGCGCAGAUAUCAGGAAGAACACCCGUGGCGAAGGCGGCUCUCUGGGACGGUACUGACGCUGAGACGCGAAAGCGUGGGGAGCGAACAGG